GACGAACGCUGGCGGCGUGCUUAACACAUGCAAGUCGAACGGAAAGGCCCUGCUUUUGUGGGGUGCUCGAGUGGCGAACGGGUGAGUAACACGUGAGUAACCUGCCCUUGACUUUGGGAUAACUUCAGGAAACUGGGGCUAAUACCGGAUAAGAGCUCCUGCUGCAUGGUGGGGGUUGGAAAGUUUCGGCGGUUGGGGAUGGACUCGCGGCUUAUCAGCUUGUUGGUGGGGUAGUGGCUUACCAAGGCUUUGACGGGUAGCCGGCCUGAGAGGGUGACCGGCCACAUUGGGACUGAGAGACGGCCCAGACUCCUACGGGAGGCAGCAGUGGGGAAUAUUGCACAAUGGGCGGAAGCCUGAUGCAGCAACGCCGCGUGCGGGAUGACGGCCUUCGGGUUGUAAACCGCUUUCGCCUGUGACGAAGCGUGAGUGACGGGAAUGGGUAAAGAAGCACCGGCUAACUACGU
rnacentral:rRNA from 1 species